rnacentral:rRNA from 1 species
AGGGAAUUGCUCAGCUUGACAAAUGGGGCCUUCGGCUCUGAGUUGUAACGUUGAAAUGUUUAGCCAAUGGAGGCGCAGGUGCAAGCCUAUUGAAAGAAAGUGCCAAUGAGGGUGACAUUCCUUUUUGUCAUUUGCAGUCCUCUGUGCACGGUAUAUAUUUGACGAGUCACACUCCUUGGCAUUGGAAUGCAAAGUGGGUGGUAAAUUCCAUGUAAAGAUAAAUAUAUUAUUGGGACUGAUAGCAAACAAGUACCAUGAGGGAAAUAUGAAAAGGACUUUGAAAAGAGAAUUAAAAGAGUCUGCAUUUGCUGAACAAAAAGCAAACAGAAUUGAUUUGCUUGGUAAGAUUGUUGCGCUUUAGUUUUGCAUCUGGAUGCUGAAUGUGGGCGUGGUGGUUCUUAGCUUGAAUGUCAGCUUGUAGUUCUGCAAAUCAAUACUCUGUCGCAUGAAUGGUAAUUUCCUGUGGGUAUUGGAAUGCAUGUGUUUAUAUGAUUUGUGAUUUGAUAAAUGUGUCUGGUGGAAUUUGUGUGUGCCCUUUUGCAAUGGGAAACAUUUCUUUUUUGAGCACCAGAAUCCUUACACAUUAAUGCUGGCCAAAUGCUUCUGCUUGACCCGUCUUGAAACACGGACCAAGGAGUCUAACAGAUGUGCAUGUUCGUGGGUGGCAAACCUGCUUGCAAAAUGAAAGUGUUGGCUGGGAUACUUGCACCAGCAGCCGUCCGAUUAGCAGACAGAGGUUUGAGUUUGAGCAUAUCUAUUAGGACCCGAAAGAUGGUGAACUAUGCCUGAACAGAAUGAAUUCAGAGGAUACUCUGAUGGAGGUUCGUAUCGAUACUGACGUGCAA